GGACAUGGUUGGCCACUGCUUAUUUUGUUUUUGAAGAUUGAUGUGAACCUAAAGCCAAUAGAUAAACACAACGAAAGCUCAAACUCCUUAUUUAGACGAAUGCAAUUUUCAGGAAACGAACAUACUCGUGUUGUAUCAUCUCUCCGCCGUUCACAGGAUCAAAGGCGCACCUGUAGAAACUGAUUAUUUCACAGAUUAUUGAUGGGUCUGCAAGUUUGAGAACUAAUGGCGGGGUAGAGGUGUUAUGGUGGCUGUGGUUUGGAAUUUUGUGGUGUGGAAGUAUUAUGGUGGUGGUGAUGAGUUGCAGGAGAUGAAAAGGGGAGAAAAGGUGGGGUGGGUAGGUGGAUAGGUGGGGCCUACAUGUAUUUUUUUAAUCUUUUAAUGUUUUAUUUGUUAAUUUCUUAAUAGUAAGGGCAUUAUAGUUAUUUCA